rnacentral:lncRNA from 1 species
AUUCAUCAAAGGAUAUUUUGAUAGAUUUAUAUUUGUUUGUAAAAUAACAACAAAAUUAAAUGCAUACAAAAAUUCAGGAUUAUAAAUAAAAUGAAAUAACUCAUUAGAGCGCCAUAGAAAAAUAAUUUUUGAUCAAUCCGCGGAAGUAAAAAAUUCGGUUGUCAUCUGAACGUCACCAAAUAAACUUGGAUAAUUUGAUUUCUCCUCUUUCCCAGAUCAGGCACUCUUUCGUAUAGUGUGAAAUAGAUAGUAAUCACAUAAAGUAAUCGGAUCGGUAUCUUUUUAUAUAGAGUCCAAAUCAACUUUUCAUCAAUAUUUGAUUAAGAUUCUAUUUAAUUUAAAUAGAUGAGAAAAAGAUAAAAUACAUCAUAUCAAACAGUUCUAUAUCUAUUAGAAUUGACUUUUAUUUACAAUAAAUUUAGAUUUAGUACACAUGCCACAUUUAUGAAAAUCCUAACAUAUUCUACUCAAC